GCAUUAGUAUCGUCCGUCGAAUUUGUCAACAUAUCUGCUUCCAUCGAUGCCCACAUCGCUUUCCGAUAUUCCCAAUAUCGUUUUCCAUAUAUCCAAUAUUUCAAUGGAAAACCAUAUACAAUCUGUGACUCUGGAUCAGCUUCUUGAACGAAUUCCGGAAUUGAUUCAUCUUCGAAAUACUUUACGUAUUGCGGGUGAUUUUUAAAAAGCCUGUGAGUUAGUAUAUUUCAUAUUUUAUCUAUUCAAUAAAUUUGUAUGUAUUUGUAUUUAUAAAGAUUACACUGAAACAGUUUAUAACUACAUAGUACAAAUUGCAAAUCCAUAAUGCGACGUAUCCUUUUCCACGGCCAACCAAAUUUCUUUUACUUUCUUGAAAUCUUCGCAUUCGACUUGAACACAUAGUUGCGUAUCGCAAUCUUUAAUCAGUUUUAAACCAGCAAACUUAUAAUUAAGGAAAUUUCCCAUUUCUUUGGAAUUUUAAAUGCACGAAGAAAGAUUCUCUAAUGUUAAGAAAAAUGUAAAAAGAGGUUGUCCUAUGCGUGUUUCCUUAUUAUACUUUAAUGCUAAAAUUUCAUUUUUGGAAGAAAUUCAUUUGAACAAACGAGAACACGAUUCAAUCGAAAAUU